rnacentral:rRNA from 1 species
AGUGAACGCUGGCGGUAGGCCUAACACAUGCAAGUCGAACGGCAGCACAGUAAGAGCUUGUUCUUACGGGUGCCGAGUGGCGGACGGGUGAGGAAUACAUCGGAAUCUACUUUUUCUUGGGGGAUAACGUAGGGAAACUUACGCUAAUACUGCAUACGACCUACGGGUGAAAGCAUGGGAUCUUCGGAUCUUGCGCGAUUGUAUGAGCCGAUGUCGGAUUAGCUAGUUGGCGGGGUAAAGGCCCACCAAGGCGACGAUCCGUAGCUGGUCUGAGAGGAUGAUCAGCCACACUGGAACUGAGACACGGUCCAGACUCCUACGGGAGGCAGCAGUGGGGAAUAUUGGACAAUGGGCGCAAGCCUGAUCCAGCCAUACCGCGUGGGUGAAGAAGGCCUUCGGAUUGUAAAGCCCUUUUGUUGGGAAAGAAAAGCAGCAGGUUAAUACCCCGCUGUUCUGACGGUACCCAAAGAAUAAGCACCGGCUAACUUCGUG